AUUGAACGCUGGCGGCAUGCCUUACACAUGCAAGUCGAACGGCAGCGGGGACUUCGGUCCGCCGGCGAGUGGCGAACGGGUGAGUAAUGUAUCGGAACGUACCAUUGAGUGGGGGAUAACGUAGCGAAAGUUACGCUAAUACCGCAUAUUCUCUCCGGAGGAAAGCAGGGGACCGCAAGGCCUUGCGCUCUUUGAGCGGCCGAUAUCAGAUUAGCUAGUUGGUGAGGUAAAGGCUCACCAAGGCGACGAUCUGUAGCGGGUCUGAGAGGAUGAUCCGCCACACUGGAACUGAGACACGGUCCAGACUCCUACGGGAGGCAGCAGUGGGGAACUUUGGACAAUGGGGGCAACCCUGAUCCAGCCAUGCCGCGUGAGUGAAGAAGGCCUUCGGGUUGUAAAGCUCUUUCGGCCGGGAAAAAAUCGCAUGGGCUAAUAUCCUGUGUGGAUGAUGGUACCGGAAUAAGAAGCACCGGCUAACUACGUACCAGCCGCCGCGGUAA
rnacentral:rRNA from 1 species